GAAAAUAGCCAUCAUGACUUCCUUUUCCAAUGAUGAAGGUGAAGGCUAUUCGAAUAUAUUUUCUGUUCAUAUGUAACUCAAACAGUCAUCACCCUUUUGGUUUUGAACUUAUUCUUCUCUCACAAUUUGUUUAGUUUCUCAGAAUGACGACACUUCCAAGAAAGUAAGCUCAAAUAUUGAUGAUAUAAAAGCUUCCAAAUCUAAAC
rnacentral:lncRNA from 1 species